GCCCGGUUAGCUCAAUCGGUAGAGCGUGAGACUCUUAAUCUCAAGGUUGCGGGUGAGUAAACGACUUCGUAUCCCCAAAAUAGACCCAUCACUAACAUAAACUCCUCAGGUUCGACCCCCGCAUUGGGCU